rnacentral:lncRNA from 1 species
AAAAAUUUACAUAUAUAUAAAAAAAAAAUUUAUAAUAAAAAGCAAAUUAAGAAACCGAUAAGCAGACAGAAGGUAAAGGACAUGACAAAACCAUUGGUUAUUAAUAACAGUAUAACUGAAAAUGUAGCCAUUACUGCUAUACCAGCCACAGGUAGUAAUAAUGAGUUUAUAAACAGGUAUACAAAAAACAAUUAUUUUUGUAAUAAAUUAAAAAAAGGAUUGAAUUUGUUAUUAAAGUAUGAGAAAAAAAAUAAAAAGGGUAUCAAUAGAAGUGGAUUAGCGAGACGCAACAAUGAUCGAAAUAAUCAUAAUAAUAAUAAUAAUAAUAAUAAUAGUAAUAAUAAUAAUAAUAAUAAUAAUAAUAAUAAUAAUCAUAACAAUAAUAAUAAUAAUAAUAAUCAUAAUAAUCAUAAUAAUCAUAAUAAUAACAAUAAUAAUAAUAAUAAUAAUAAUAGUAAUAAUAAUAGUAAUAGUAAUAAUAGUAAUAGUAAUAAUAAUACUAAUACCUAUAGCAAAAGCUAUAAUAACAGUCUGGUAAAAGAUACAGAAAACAUGUCCGAAAGUCCCAAAAAACAAGAAAAAAAAAAUGCAGCAAAAAAUUGCAAAAAAAUAAAUAAACAGGGGCAAAAUGUUAUAUGUAACAACAGUAUAUCAUGCCAGACUAUUGCUACUGCUACCGCUAUCAAUAACAGUUGUAAUAACAAGGACAAAAUUAUUUACACUGGAAUUCAUAACGCUACUAGUAAUAACACUAAUUAUAAUAAUGCGUUUUUAAAUUAUUAUAAUAAUGGCUGUUGUAAUGAUAAUUAUAUUAGCAAUAAUGACAAUAACAACAGUAGUAACAGUAACGCAUAUUUUAAAAUUGUAAACGAAAAAAACGUUGCAAAUGCCAGACACAUACAAGGAAUGGAUAUGAGAGUGUAUCAUAAUAUAAACAAUUCAAUUUUUUAUAAUAAUCAACAUAGCCAACAAAACCAACAAAACCAACAAAACCAACAAAACCAACAAAGCCAACAAAACCAACAUAAUAACAUGAACAUGUGCAUGAAGAACAAUAAAGAAAUAGAAAAUCAUAUGAAUUUGUUUAAAACGAAAUAUUUUAUUUCUAACAAAAAUGAUCUAAAUGGUAUUAACUAUACAUGUGAAAACCGGUCUAACACGAAUAAUUAUAACGCUUGUGUGAAAAACAAAGAAUUAUAUAUGUAUCCUAUAUAUAAUAAUACUAGUACUAAUAAUGGUAGUAAUAUUGUCAAUAAUAGUGGAAUUAAUAAUGUUGGUAUGAGUAACAACAAAAUUAAUACUACUACUACUUCUACUACCACUAAUAAUAAUAGUAAUAUUGUUAUUGGUAACACAAACAAUAAGCAUUUCACUCAUAAUGAGAUACAAAAUUAUAUUUGCAAUAAAUCAUCAGUAACAAAUAAUAGUUAUCCAUUUAAUAGUAACAUGUAUAAUUUUAUAGUUAAUAAUAAUAUGAUGAGUGACAACCUAAGUAAUGGUAAUGUAUGUAAUGAUAUAAAUAGUAAUAUAUAUAAAAUGAAUAAUAACAAUGUAAAUAUAGACAAUAAUUAUUGUGAUAACCAAAAAGAAAUAAAAUAUAAUGCAUUAAAACCUGUACCUUAUGGUUUAAUUAAGCAUAACAUUUAUAAUAGUAAUAAUAUGAACAAGAAUAAUGAAAUGGGUGUAACCCCUUUAAUAUAUAAUAAUGUAAAUACACCUACUACUGUUACUCCUACUGUUACUCCUACUGUUACUACUAAUGUUAACAGUAAUAAUAGUAAUGUUAUUACUAAUGUUAACAGUAACAAUAGUAAUGUUAAUAAUAGUAUUAACAACGGUUACUAUAGUUAUAUUGUUGGAGAUAGCAAUAACAAUAAUAGUCAUACGCAAAAUAAAAAUUUUAACAAACGAAUAGCACGACAAACUGGAAUAAAUAAAAAUAGUAUUCCCCAUAACGGUAUGAAACUAUAUGAUAAUAAUGUUUAUGGAAGUAAUAACUCUGUAUGCCAAUAUGGUAAAAGUUAUAACAACAACAAUAACAAUAACAAUAACAAUAAUAUGUUAGGUACUCGUGAGGCGGAAAGAGGGAUUGAAAUGAGUAAUGGUAGUAACACAUUUUUUAUAAACAAUAAUAUAAACAACUACUGUAAUGAUAUUACUAAAAAUAGCAAAACAAAAAUUAAAAAAACAACAAUAAAAAAAACUUUGAAAAAAACAAACGUUAAAAAAAAUAAUAAGAAAAAGAGUAAAAACGACAAUUUAAAUAAUAUAUCUACUAAUAAUAAUACUAAUGAAAAUGGUUUUGUUGAAAGUAUGAACGAACAUGAAUGUUUAGAUAAAAAGGACCACGAUGUUAAUGACGGUAGUAACAGUAUUAAUGUUAAUAAAAAGAAGACACAUGUAUCUGAAUGCAAUGAUUUUUCCAAUUUCGAACAAAAUAAUAACAACAAACACGGUGAUAGCGAUAAUAAUAAUAAUAGUAGUAGUAAUAAUAGUAGUAGUAGUAAUAAUAAUAAUAAUAAUAAUAGUAGUAGUAGUAGUAGUAGUAAUAAUAAUAGUAGUAGUAAUAAUAAUAGUAGUAGUAAUAAUAAUAGUAAUAAUAAUAAUAGUAAUAAUAAUAAUAGUAAUAGUAGUAAUAAUAAUAAAGGUGAAUGUGAUUAUGCUGGUAACAGUAAUACUAAUAACAAUGGAAGUAGUGAUAAUAAUAGCAAUAAUAAUAAUACCAAUCGAAAUAGUAGCUGUACAAAUAACAACAGAAAUAGUAGUAGUAGUAGUAGUAGUAAUGGUAGUAUGAAUGGUAACACUAAAAGUAAUAUAACUGUGGACUGUUUUAAUCAAAGUGAAAAUAGCCCCAUACAAGAGUAUAAUAAUAAAAUGGAAAAUAACAUGACUGCUGAUUAUACUAAUGAAUGUAAUAAACCAGAAGAACCAAAUAAAAUAAAAAAUAAUGUAAACUACAUGAACAAUUCAGAAAAAAUUGUUACUUAUGUAUCAAAUGGAAAUAUGCAUAAAACAUGUUUUGGUAUAACUAAUAUAAAAGAACAUAGUAGCAAUGGUAAUGUUACUACGACUAAUAAUAACAGUAACAGCAGUAAUGGUAGUAACACCGGUUAUAGUGAUUGUUUAGUUAACUCGAAGGACGUUAAUGUCAUUUCGAAUAGUAAGGUCACACCGAAUUUUAUUAAUGAACAAAGUUCUGCAGGUAUAAACAAAAAAACUAUAACAACAAUUGUAGCUAAUAAUAAUAAUAGUAGUAGCAGUAGUAGUAGUAGUAGCAGUAACAGUAGUAGUAGUAGUAGUAGUAAUAAUAAUAAUAAUAAUAAUAAUAAUAAUAAUAAUAAUAAUAAUAAUAACAUGGUAAACAUAAAGAAAAGCAACGACAAUAAUAAAUUCGAAAAUAAUACAACCGAAUCGAACCUUACGAACCCUAAUGAAUUAAAUAAACUAAAACGAAUAAAAAAUAAAAAUUGUAUAUCAGGUCAACAGAAAUCACAGACAAAAGAAAGUAGCAAUCCAUUUAGCACUGUAUUACCCAUAAGCGAAACUAAAAUUGUAAAUUGUACAAGCAAACAAAGUACAAGUUAUUACACUUCUUCUUUGAAUUUGAGUGAAGAUCAUAUUUUAAAACAGCAUGAGCUAGAAAAAAAUGGAAAUAACAAAGUAAACCAAUGUUUAAAUAACAUUGAUGAAAAAACAUAUAUAAAGGAAUCUAAUGAUUAUUUGAACUCGUAUAUUAACUAUAGUAAUGAAAGAAUUGUUAACUGUAAUAAUAAAAAUAGUAGUAGUAAUGGUAAUAGUAAUAAUAGUAGUAAUAAUAAUAGUAGUAAUAAUAAUAGUAGUAAUAAUAAUAGUAGUAGUAACAAUAAUAAUAAUAGUAAUAAUGGUAAUAAUAGUAAUAAUGGUAAUAAUGGUGGGGAUGAUAAAAAAAGAAAAUAUAAUAUGCUAAACACUAAUGAGCAAACAAGUUUUAACAUGAAAGGGAAACACAUUUCAAAACAUAAUAACGCAACAACAAAAGGGAUUACAACAAAAGGGAUUAUAAGCAGUGGUACUGAUACUAUAAGCAGUAGCAAUGACAUUAUAAGAUGUAGCAUUGGCGAUACCAAUACAAGUGAAUAUAACUUAAACGAAAAAAGUUAUGAAAAUAAAAAAAAUGAUGUGCCUGAACAUAAUAGUGAUAAAAUGUGCAAUUUAUAUGGUAUAUGUAACAAUUCGACUAGUGGUAAAAUACGCGUUUCCAAUUUCGAAAAUAACCAUGACGUGAGUAGUUAUAAUGACAUAUGUGUUGGUAAUAGUAGUAGUAAUAAUAGUAGUAGUAGUAAUAAUAAUAUCAUUAGUGCCAAUUCCAAUGCCAGUAAUUAUAGUAACAAUUUUUUAAAAUGUAACAGUGGCAUGUCUAUAAAUGGAGAAUCAAAAAAAAAUAUAAAUAAUAGUAUUAACACGAGUGGUAAUAUUUUUAGAAGUAAUAGCAAUAUAAUUGAUGACCACUACAUUAAUAUAAAGAUUUCUAAUAAAAACAAUAAAACAUCAUAUAAAUGUGAUACAUAUAGAAUGGACGACAACGGAAUAGGAAAUAACGUUAAUAAUUUGAUAGAUAAGCAUAAUGUUACAGAGAAUAUUUUAUUUAACACAUUUAAUAACAGUAAUAAAAUGGAUGUAAAAAUAAAUAUGAAUGCUAGUACUCUGGACGACAAUCAUAUGAAAAGCGUCAAUUAUUUUUUUAAUAAUAAUAGUAGUAGUAGUAAUAAUAAUAAUAGUAGUAGUAGUAGUAGUAAUAAUAAUAAUAGUAGUAGUAGUAAUAAUAAUAAUAAUAAUAAUAAUAGUAGUAAUAGUAGUAGUUGUAGCGUUUGUAACAGUGGUAGUAGUUACAAUAAUAGCGGUAACAUGGAUUUAGCUUGCAACAGAAAUAACAACACAUCCAAAACACCACCAAAAGAGUGCAAGGUUGACUAUAUUAAAAAAUGUGACAACCAGAGUAACAACAACUACAAUAAAAGUAAUGAAAAAGAUAAAAAUGAAAAUAAUAUUGAUACAUAUAAAGAGAACUUCGGAUUAAAAAUAAAAUGUUAUAAUCAUGAUGAAUAUAUGAACGAUGGAAAUAAAAAAAAGGAUAUUGAUAAUAUUAAUGGCAGCCAUAAUAAAAAUGUUGCGAAUAGCAUGAAUAGUUAUGGCAGUAAUGGUAACAUACAUAGAGUAGGUUGUAGUAAUAAUAAUAAUAAUAGUAGUAGUAGUAGUAUUAGCAGUAGUAGUAGUAUUAGCAGUAAUAAUAUAAAUAGUAGUAGCAGUAAUAAUAUAAAUAGUANNNNNNNNNNAAAUAGUAGUAGCAGUAAUAAUAUAAAUAGUAGUAGCAGUAAUAAUAAAAGCUUUAAUUUCUCAAAUAGGGAACGCAUGAACAUUGUUAAUGAUAAAUUAAUAAAAAUGUCAAAUUCAAAAAUUAAACAUCACAUAAAAGAUACAAAUGUUGGUUCUAAUUCUUUUAUAAGUGAUAAUAAUAAUAAUAAUAAUAAUAAC